rnacentral:rRNA from 1 species
CGGACCUCCGAUCAAGCAAGAGGACCCGCUGAAUUUAAGCAUAUAACUAAGCGGAGGAAAAGAAACUAACCAGGAUUCCCCCAGUAACGGCGAGUGAAGCGGGAAGAGCUCACGUUGUAAAUCUGACUU